UGAGCAAUCUGCCCUUCUCUUCGGAAUAAGCGUUGGAAACGACGUCUAAUGCCGAAUACGACCUCCUUUCGCAUGAUCGGAGGUGGAAAGCUCCGGCGGAGAAGGAUGAGCUCGCGGCCUAUCAGCUAGGUGGUGUGGGUAAUGGCCCACCAAGGCGACGACGGGUAGCCGGCCUGAGAGGGUGACCGGCCACACUGGGACUGAGACACGGCCCAGACUCCGUACGGGAGGCAG
rnacentral:rRNA from 1 species